AGCAUUGCUUUUGUUAAUAAUGUAAUUUUGCAGUUUCUUGGAUGCGCUGUGAAGACAGAAGUGAAGCUGUGAAUCGAGGUUAAUUGAAAUGCUUACGUGAUGGUGAUGUGCCAGAUUCCCUGCUGUAAGUCUCAGGAGGAAACUUGCAGAAAUCCAGCUAUAAAACGUUCUGAUGGGUAACAUGCUAUUCCUAAACUACAAAGAACUGACUACAUGUAGGACAGCAUUGACUUAUGGGGUGAAAUAAGGAGAAAGCUGUCAAAGGACUGGGUACGCCUGAAGCAGAAGAAGGGAAAUUCUUCCUCACAUUGAAGCUGUUGACCUGCACAAAGUCACCAAGUUUGUUGGGUCAGAGAGGAAGAGCAUGAGAAUCAUGGCUUUCUACUCUGGGAACCAGCG